AUUGAACGCUGGCGGCAGGCCUAACACAUGCAAGUCGAGCGAGCGGCGGACGGGUGAGUAAUGUCUGGGAAACUGCCUGAUGGAGGGGGAUAACUACUGGAAACGGUAGCUAAUACCGCAUACCAUCAGAUGUGCCCAGAUGGGAUUAGCUAGUAGGUGGGGUAACGGCUCACCUAGGCGACGAUCCCUAGCUGGUCUGAGAGGAUGACCAGCAACACUGGAACGGAGACACGGCCCAGAUCCCUACGGGAGGGACAAGUGGGGAAUAUUUGACAAUGGGCGAAAGCCGUAUCCAGACAUGCCGCGUGUGUGAAGAAGGUCUGCGGAUUGUAAAGCACUUUAGUUUGGAAGGCGUUACCAAAAGAGUAAGCACCGGCUAACUUCGUGCCAGCAGCCGCGGUAAUAC
rnacentral:rRNA from 1 species